rnacentral:rRNA from 1 species
CAGUCGAACGAAGAGCGAUGGAAGCUUGCUUCUAUCAAUCUUAGUGGCGAACGGGUGAGUAACGCGUAAUCAACCUGCCCUUCAGAGGGGGACAACAGUUGGAAACGACUGCUAAUACCGCAUACGAUCUAAUCUCGGCAUCGAGGAUAGAUGAAAGGUGGCCUCUACAUGUAAGCUAUCACUGAAGGAGGGGAUUGCGUCUGAUUAGCUAGUAGGUGGGGUAACGGCUCACCUAGGCGACGAUCCCUAGCUGGUCUGAGAGGAUGACCAGCCACACUGGAACUGAGACACGGUCCAGACUCCUACGGGAGGCAGCAGUGGGGAAUAUUGCACAAUGGGCGCAAGCCUGAUGCAGCCAUGCCGCGUGUAUGAAGAAGGCCUUCGGGUUGUAAAGUACUUUCAGCGGGGAGGAAGGGAUGGUGCUUAAUACGCGCCGUCAUUGACGUUACCCGCAGAAGAAGCACCGGCUAACUCCGUGCCAGCAGCCGCGGUAAUACGGAGGGUGCAAGCGUUAAUCGGAAUUACUGGGCGUAAAGCGCACGCAGGCGGUCUGUUAAGUCAGAUGUGAAAUCCCCGGGCUUAACCUGGGAACUGCAUUUGAAACUGGCAGGCUUGAGUCUCGUAGAGGGGGGUAGAAUUCCAGGUGUAGCGGUGAAAUGCGUAGAGAUCUGGAGGAAUACCGGUGGCGAAGGCGGCCCCC